rnacentral:rRNA from 1 species
UACGGAGGGUGCAAGCGUUAAUCGGAAUUACUGGGCGUAAAGCGUGCGCAGGCGGUUUGUUAAGUCCGUUGUGAAAGCCCCGAGCUCAACUUGGGAAUUGCAGUGGAUACUGGCAGGCUGGAGUACGGUAGAGGAAGGUGGAAUUCCCGGUGUAGCAGUGAAAUGCGUAGAUAUCGGGAGGAACACCAGUGGCGAAGGCGGCCUUCUGGACCAGUACUGACGCUCAGGAGCGAAAGCGUGGGGAGCGAACAGG